rfam:Triticum aestivum genome assembly, contig: Triticum_aestivum_CS42_TGACv1_scaffold_558078_7AL
GAGAUACUUCCUUCGUUCAAAAUUGCUUGUCGCAGAAAUGGAUGUAUCUAGAAAUACAUCUAGAUACACCCAUUUCUGCGACAAGUAAUUUUGAACAAAGUGAGUAUAUG